CAGCUCUGUUACUUUAGAAGAGCCAGAUCUUUCACUCUGUCCAAGGGCGACAUGCCUAAGCGACUUUUCGCAAAAGGUUGUUCUUCAUGCUGGUGAUGCUCUGUUCAUUCCUGAAGGAUGGUUUCAUCAAGUGGAUAGCGAAGUUUUAACCAUCGCUGUCAACUUUUGGUGGCGGUCCAUGACAAUAUCUGGCAUGUUGGAG
rnacentral:misc_RNA from 1 species